rnacentral:rRNA from 1 species
CGGGACUAACUACGUGCAAACAGGCGGCGGGUAAUACGUAGGGUGCAAGCGUUAAUCGAAUUACUGGGCGUAAAGCGUGUGUAGGCGGUCGGAAAGAAAGAUGUGAAAUCCAGGGCUCAACCUGGAAAUGCAUUUUUAACUGCCGAGCUAGAGUAUGUCAGAGGGGGGUAGAAUUCCACGUGUAGCAGUGAAAUGCGUAGAUAUGUGGAGGAAUACCGAUGGCGAAGGCAGCCCCCUGGGAUAAUACUGACGCUCAGACACGAAAGCGUGGGGAGCAAACAGGAUUAGAUACCCUGGUAGUCCACGCCCUAAACGAUGUCAACUAGCUGUUGGGGCCGUUAGGCCUUAGUAGCGCAGCUAACGCGUGAAGUUGACCGCCUGGGGAGUACGGUCGCAAGAUUAAAACUCAAAGGAAUUGACGGGGACCCGCACAAGCGGUGGAUGAUGUGGAUUAAUUCGAUGCAACGCGAAAAACCUUACCUACCCUUGACAUGUCUGGAAUGCCGAAGAGAUUUGGCAGUGCUCGCAAGAGAACCGGAACACAGGUGCUGCAUGGCUGUCGUCAGCUCGUGUCGUGAGAUGUUGGGUUAAGUCCCGCAACGAGCGCAACCCUUGUCAUUAGUUGCUACGCAAGAGCACUCUAAUGAGACUGCCGGUGACAAACCGGAGGAAGGUGGGGAUGACGUCAAGUCCUCAUGGCCCUUAUGGGUAGGGCUUCACACGUCAUACAAUGGUCGGGACAGAGGGUCGCCAACCCGCGAGGGGGAGCCAAUCUCAGAAACCCGAUCGUAGUCCGGAUCGCAGUCUGCAACUCGACUGCGUGAAGUCGGAAUCGCUAGUAAUCGCGGAUCAGAAUGUCGCGGUGAAUACGUUCCCGGGUCUUGUACACACCGCCCGUCACACCAUGGGAGUGGGUUUCACCAGAAGUAGGUAGCCUAACCGCAAGGAGGGCGCUUACCA